ACAUCUAUAAGGUACAACUAACAUGCAUGAAUCGAAUUCUUUUAUGGCCGAGGUUUCAAGCAGAUCAGAUGUCUUGAAACUUGAAACUCCCCCUCUUCACCUCAAUUCGAUUUCAGCAUUAUAGGUAGUAUGUACUGAUCUGAUAUAAAUGCCAGAAGAAGACUGAAGAAACAUAUAUGGGUUUUGUCAGGGAUGAGUAUAACCCAGCUAAGUUGUCAAAUAAGGGAAUCGUAGAUUGCCAAUACUUUUUGGUCAGGUUAUCGGGAUGGUUUGCUACCAAUGGAUCGGAUGGAGUUAGAUGUAUACAGUACAUGUAUAUUUAAUUGUGAACCUUUAUUAUGACAGACCAAGGAGCAUGAUAUGAUUUGAAGAUGAAGAUUAUUCAAUUUUGAGUCGGUCAUAUGUGGAAAACUUAUGUGUUUGUUUAUUUUGCCGUGAGCAUGGAUUGAAGACGGUGCAUCUCAACAUCAUAUCAUAUCUACCAUUAUUUUUCAUGCAAAUUCAUUCAAGAAGAUAAGUUUAAGAAUUCAAAAAACAAUAAAUCUUUGGUGCCCAUCCAAGUUAAAAGCACAAGAGUCACAAAAGCAGAUAAAGUAAUCCCCAACAAGUGAUCCCCAUGUAACUUGACCAUAGUUUGAAGAUAGAAGAAGAUAAGACUACCUUACCUUAUCUCCAUUGGUUUUCCUUUAUUUUGGUUCAUAUAUUUUUAACGUUGUGCAUACGGCUAGCUUAGUAACACUUUUACAACCUAAUAAGAACGCGAAUUGCAAGGUUUGCCAAAACCAUUGGGAAAACAUUAUUAAUUGCAUAAUAAUAAUAAGAAACUAGUUAGGGGGAAUUGUUGAUUUGCAGAAAAUUUUAAACUAGAAAAUAUUUACUUAAUUACAUAUCAAGUUUAAUGCAUGGGAAUCAUAUAUUUUAAAACUUUGAAUAUUAAUGCACCAAACACUUGUAAUAAUCUCAAUAAUCUAACUUAAAAGCUUUCCAUUCUCAACUCCUAGCUAUAGUAACUUUUGAAAUUUCAACUAAAUUUCAUCAUUCAGCCAGGUGUGACACACAAAGUCUUUAAUUUGUACUUCAAAUAAUCCUAUAUUUUUUAAUCCCAAUUUAUUCAAAUUAUAAAAUGAAAAAAAAAGGAUUUUGCCUAGUGU